rnacentral:rRNA from 1 species
AACGAACGCUGGCGGCAUGCCUAACACAUGCAAGUCGAACGAGACCUUCGGGUCUAGUUGCGCACGGGUGCGUAACGCGUGGGAACCUGCCCUUAGGUUCGGAAUAACUCCCCUAAAGGGGUGCUAAUACCGGAUAAUUUCUUCGGACCAAAGAUUUAUCGCCUUUGGAUGGGCCCGCGUUGGAUUAGCUAGUUGGUAGGGGAAAAGCCUACCAAGGCUACGAUCCAUAGCUGGUCUGAGAGGAUGAUCAGCCACACUGGGACUGAGACACGGCCCAGACUCCUACGGGAGGCAGCCGUGGGGAAUAUUGGACAAUGGGCGAAAGCCUGAUCCAGCAAUGCCGCGUGAGUGAUGAAGGCCUUAGGGUUGUAAAGCUCUUUUACCCGGGAUGAUAAUGACAGUACCGGGAGAAUAAGCGCCGGCUAACUCCGUG